rnacentral:rRNA from 3 species
UGUGAACUGCAGGACACAUGAACACCGAUAAGUUGAACGCAUAUGGCGCAUCGGACGUUUCAACCCGACCGAUGCACACAUCCUUGAGU